rnacentral:tRNA from 1 species
CAGGUUGUGGUUUAAUAUAAAAUUAAGGCUUUGGGAGCAUUAGAUCCUGCUUAUGUGGGCAACCUGA